rnacentral:rRNA from 1 species
GGACGAACGCUGGCGGCGUGCCUAAUACAUGCAAGUCGAACGAACUCUGGUAUUGAUUGGUGCUUGCAUCAUGAUUUACAUUUGAGUGAGUGGCGAACUGGUGAGUAACACGUGGGAAACCUGCCCAGAAGCGGGGGAUAACACCUGGAAACAGAUGCUAAUACCGCAUAACAACUUGGACCGCAUGGUCCGAGUUUGAAAGAUGGCUUCGGCUAUCACUUUUGGAUGGUCCCGCGGCGUAUUAGCUAGAUGGUGGGGUAACGGCUCACCAUGGCAAUGAUACGUAGCCGACCUGAGAGGGUAAUCGGCCACAUUGGGACUGAGACACGGCCCAAACUCCUACGGGAGGCAGCAGUAGGGAAUCUUCCACAAUGGACGAAAGUCUGAUGGAGCAACGCCGCGUGAGUGAAGAAGGGUUUCGGCUCGUAAAACUCUGUUGUUAAAGAAGAACAUAUCUGAGAGUAACUGUUCAGGUAUUGACGGUAUUUAACCAGAAAGCCACGGCUAACUACGUGCCAGCAGCCGCGGUAAUACGUAGGUGGCAAGCGUUGUCCGGAUUUAUUGGGCGUAAAGCGAGCGCAGGCGGUUUUUUAAGUCUGAUGUGAAAGCCUUUCGGCUCAACCGAAGAAGUGCAUCGGAAACUGGGAAACUUGAGUGCAGAAGAGGACAGUGGAACUCCAUGUGUAGCGGUGAAAUGCGUAGAUAUAUGGAAGAACACCAGUGGCGAAGGCGGCUGUCUGGUCUGUAACUGACGCUGAGGCUCGAAAGUAUGGGUAGCAAACAGGAUUAGAUACCCUGGUAGUCCAUACCGUAAACGAUGAAUGCUAAGUGUUGGAGGGUUUCCGCCCUUCAGUGCUGCAGCUAACGCAUUAAGCAUUCCGCCUGGGGAGUACGGCCGCAAGGCUGAAACUCAAAGGAAUUGACGGGGGCCCGCACAAGCGGUGGAGCAUGUGGUUUAAUUCGAAGCUACGCGAAGAACCUUACCAGGUCUUGACAUACUAUGCAAAUCUAAGAGAUUAGACGUUCCCUUCGGGGACAUGGAUACAGGUGGUGCAUGGUUGUCGUCAGCUCGUGUCGUGAGAUGUUGGGUUAAGUCCCGCAACGAGCGCAACCCUUAUUAUCAGUUGCCAGCAUUAAGUUGGGCACUCUGGUGAGACUGCCGGUGACAAACCGGAGGAAGGUGGGGAUGACGUCAAAUCAUCAUGCCCCUUAUGACCUGGGCUACACACGUGCUACAAUGGAUGGUACAACGAGUUGCGAACUCGCGAGAGUAAGCUAAUCUCUUAAAGCCAUUCUCAGUUCGGAUUGUAGGCUGCAACUCGCCUACAUGAAGUCGGAAUCGCUAGUAAUCGCGGAUCAGCAUGCCGCGGUGAAUACGUUCCCGGGCCUUGUACACACCGCCCGUCACACCAUGAGAGUUUGUAACACCCAAAGUCGGUGGGGUAACCUUUUAGGAACCAGCCGCCUAAGGUGGGACAGAUGAUUAGGGUG